GGUAUGAUUGCCAAUGAGACAACUCUCCACAAGACACCAAAUGACACAGAAAUUAACAACUAUAGGUCACCGUACGGCCUUCAACAAUGAGCAAAGCCCAUACCGCAUAAUCAGCUAUAAAAGGCCCCGAAAUGACAAAUGUAAACAAUUCAAACGAGAAAACUAACGGCAUAAUUUAUGUACAAAAAAUGAACGAAGAACAAAUACCGGUAUGUAACACAUCAACAGACGACAACCACUGAAUUACAGGCUCCUGACUUGGGACAGGUGCAUAUUCGUACGGGAACAUAUUAAUGUGAAAUGAAUAUUAACCCUGUUUUGUAAUAGACCGACACCCUGAGUCGGAUUUUUAACAUGCUACUUCGCAGAAAUCCAUUUCACCUUACGGUGUUACCCGGACAGAUUAUUCUGAUUCCGAGCCGAACAAGUCUUUGAUUUUACUCCUUAAUUUAGCAGGGAAGCAGCAAAUACCAAUUUUAAAUUCUUUGGUUUUGAACCGGCCGGAAUUCGAACCUACGACCAGCAACACUAGAGGCUAACAUGCUACCAUGAAAGCACCGCCACUAGACAGUUACCCGUAAUAUAAAAGGAAAGCCGUUCAGAUAUACAACUCCGUAAACAGGGCUAACAUACUGACCAUUGAUUUUUUUUUGGGGUGAUUGCGGGGGAAAAGGGGGGGGCAUUUUUUUUGUUUUUUUGUAAAUGUUUGAUUCCAAGUUUCUUGAAAGAUAUUUUAUCUUUUUCAGGAGGGAAUCAAAAUAAUUGUUUCCAUUGAAAAUGAGAGAAAAAAUAAAACAAUAAUGAAAUUAAAAAAAAAAACCAUAUUAUUUUUAAAAAAAAAGAGUUUUUUCAUUAAAGUCGAAAAAUAUGUUUGUCCUGGAACAAGGAAGUACACGUCCUCCUGCCCACACUUCAUGUUUACAUCACGAUGACCGCGAGGGCAUUCCGAUGUAUUGUCG
rnacentral:lncRNA from 1 species